AUUGAACGCUGGCGGCAGGCCUAACACAUGCAAGUCGAGCGGAUGAAGGGAGCUUGCUCCUGGAUUCAGCGGCGGACGGGUGAGUAAUGCCUAGGAAUCUGCCUGGUAGUGGGGGAUAACGUCCGGAAACGGGCGCUAAUACCGCAUACGCCCUGAGGGAGAAAGUGGGGGAUCUUCGGACCUCACGCUAUCAGAUGAGCCUAGGUCGGAUUAGCUAGUUGGUGGGGUAAAGGCCUACCAAGGCGACGAUCCGUAACUGGUCUGAGAGGAUGAUCAGUCACACUGGAACUGAGACACGGUCCAGACUCCUACGGGAGGCAGCAGUGGGGAAUAUUGGACAAUGGGCGAAAGCCUGAUCCAGCCAUGCCGCGUGUGUGAAGAAGGUCUUCGGAUUGCAAAGCACUUUAAGUUGGGAGGAAGGGCAGUAAGUUAAUACCUUGCUGUUUUGACGUUACCAACAGAAUAAGCACCGGCUAACUUCGUG
rnacentral:rRNA from 1 species